UCGAACCCUCUACUAAAACCCCAACUCUAACAACCGACCCCAGUCUAGCAGACAUUUCUGCCAAGCUCCAAAACCUCCAACUACAACAACAGCAAGCGUCAACAUCCUUAGCCGCAUUGGAACAACCAUCACAAUUAUAAAGUGACCGUCAGCAGUAUAAUCGUCAAGCCAACACUCAGCAACCAUAGCCCACCAACUUCCACGAAGUCACCUAGCAACCAACAUUCCUAUCAUAACACGUUGGCACACCUCGCCGAAUCAGCAACACGCGUCGACGACCGGACGACGCGAUCCAGUUACAAUAUUUUUACUUAGCUAGGGCUCUUUCCUCUUCCAAGCUAGGCCUCUGUAACAAUUAAUUCACAAGUAAUAAAUCAUUCUAGUUUCGUUCUCCAUACCGAUCAGUUCGGUCUUUCAGUUUUUUAAAAACCUUUCCAUGUGACUCUGUCACAUAAUUGGCGCAGUCGUUUUCCGAGGGGAUAGUGAUCCCAUGUAGUGUCAACUCCGAAGUCGAUCAAAAAUCACAGUGUGCUGCCGCGAUCAGGAAAACCCGCCAACAAUAAUUAAUUAUUCGUCGCGCGUUCGAAAAUCGCUCUUAUGGUGGUAAGCACCAACGAAGUUAGUACCAGAUUUAAUCCGGAUUUUCAAAAAUCUAGGAUUAAAUUUAGUACUCCGUUUGGUAAGCACCAAAGUCGGUAAUAACUGAAAAGAAUGCAGCCACUUGCAAAAGUUUAAAGUUGUGUGAGUGUGAGAAUGUCUGCACAAAAGGAAAGUUAUUUUAAACCUAUUUUGUUUUAUUCUCACACCUUCGUAAACAAACAAACUCCGAUAGUUUACGAUAUGGAGCCAAUAAAAUUUUAUUUGGCGAAAGUUUGAAAGAAUUUUGUAGAACCAGGACCCAGAGGAACACCAAAAACUCCACACUGCAAGCGACCUUAGAACAUGUUACGGAGUAGAUCCGACGAAUCCACACAUGUCUCCAUCUUUCCAAUGUUUGAUUCCACGCAGUAAACCGAAGUGGCCAGCUUUACCUAUGCCAUGAUGGUGCAUAUUGGUUUUCCAUCCGGAGCAGCUUCCGGAUAUAGUUCUGUUAGUUCAGAAGGAGAUACUCCUAGUUAGCUCAACAUGCCAAGCGAUUUGGUUCUCAAACGUAACAAAAUUGGCACCAUGUAGCGUCCCGAAGCGCUCAAAACAUGAAACUGUGGAAGAAUUUGGUCACCUUCGGUCGUGUCCUCCGCAUUUGAAUCAGAGGUGAUUCUUCAAACUGUAGCAGACCUGAGAGAUGAGGUAUUCAAAAAGAACCUUAAUUAGUGAAACAGGUAUCCCACAAAAGAAUGGUAACGUGACAAUGUGAUUCGCAUCCACGUCAUGUCAGUAAAAUUAUUGGGUACAGUCAACUCUCCCUUACUCGACCUCCGUAUCUCAAUAUCUAG